CCCUUAGACGUUCUGGGCCGCACGCGCGCUACACUGACGAAGGCAACGAGCUACUCUUCACCGAAAGGUGUGGGUAAUCUUUUGAAACUUCGUCGUGCUGGGGAUAGAUCCUUGCAAUUUUUGAUCUUAAACGGGGAAUUCCUAGUAAGCGCAAGUCAUCAACUUGCGUUGAUUACGUCCCUGCCCUUUGUACACACCGCCCGUCGCUACUACCGAUUGAAUGGUUUAGUGAGGCCUUCGGAUCCGCGAUUUUAUUGUGGAGAAGUUGGACAAACUCAGUCAUUUAGAGGAAGUAAAAGUCGUAACA
rnacentral:rRNA from 1 species